GACCUGAUAGCACAGCUGGUUAGUGCAUCUGCUCAAAAUUCGAUUUCGUUGUUGUUUAGGUGGAAGACCCUCGUUCGAUUCGGGGUCAGGUCA